AACUAAUGGUGUUUCUAGUAAUAUUUAUAGUGAUAUAUAUAAUAGUGAAAUAAAUAUUAACUGUUCUUUUUUUUUUUUUUUUAUCAAAUCAUUAAAUAUGCUCAUUGACAUAUCAAAAUCUUCUAUUAAACCUUUUCACAUAUUUAAACUAAUGAAAGUUAUCUCUUUUUUUAUAAUUUCAUCACCAGAUGCUACUCCUUCUAAUGUAACAGAAAUUGUUAUGCUGUUCGAAAAUAUUUUACUAAUUAAACGGAAUGCAAAAAUAGAAAAUGAUAGCCAUGAUUUCGUAAACACAAAAGGGGAAGUUAGUUAUAACAACGGAUCCAAUACUAGUGUCAGUCGUACUACUUUACAUAACCAAGAAAAAUCAGGUACCUUUUAUUAUAAUAGUAGUAAUGAAAAUGUAAAUGAUUUAUCAUGCUCUACGCAAAAUAAAACAUAUACCACAUUUGAUAUUCUAGUAGGACGAACAAAAAGUAGCUGUAACGGUGAUAUGACUUCCGAUAUAGAACAAACACGAAAUGAAAAAGCUAAUUUCAAUAAUAAAGACAUUUCUGUUUUAAAUGGAACAAGUACUUAUAAAUAUAAAAACAAAAUAAACAAUUACAACUCUGAUAUAAACAAAAGCAAUUAUACUGAUGUACUACAUAAAAGCAAACAACACAUCAAAUUACACAACGUAAUUAACAAAGUAUAUAUUACUAACAUCCCAGCACUUUAUGAAAUAAUAAAAACUGCUUUGAAUGUUACUAAGAUUUUAAAUAUAAAUAGACAAGAUAUACCCGUUGAAUUAAUUUUUCAUGACACCAAUAAUUUUAUUUAUGAACUCGCCAAAGCAAUGAUGAAACUACUUUUUUCAAUAGUAUACAUAAUAAAUAAAAAUGAAAAAUCAUCAGUUAUUAAUUUAAAUGUUAUAGAUGAAAAAAAAAAUAUUGAAUGUGAUAAUGAAUUAAAAAUACUUACAUUUAUAAAAUUAAUAUUACAAUUUUUUAUAGAAUUACAAACAUUUUUUAAAAAUAUUAUA
rnacentral:lncRNA from 1 species